rnacentral:misc_RNA from 1 species
GAUGAAGAACGCAGCGAAAUGCGAUAAGUAGUGUGAAUUGCAGAAUUCAGUGAAUCAUCGAAUCUUUGAACGCACAUUGCGCCCUUUGGUAUUCCUUAGGGCAUGCCUGUUCGAGCGUCAUUUAAACCUUCAAGCUCAGCUUGGUGAUGGGUGACUGUCCUCCCCUCGCGGGGGGACUCGCCUCAAAAACAUUGGCAGCCGGUACAUUGGCUUCGAGCGCAGCAGAAACGCGGUCUCGAGCCCGGUGGAUCGGCUCCCAUAAGUCUAUUCUUUUAUUUUGACCUCGGAUCAGGUAGGGAUACCCGCUGAACUUAAGCAUAUCAAUAAGCGGAGGA